UAAUUAGCCCCGCGCGCUGCCGGCGGAGGCGGUGGCUGCGCUGCCAGAGCACUGCAGCACGCGCUGACGCACCCCGCGCACCAGGCCCCCCAGGUUGGUACUAAGAAGUGCCUUUCCUGACGUCUCUGCUGCUUGGGACCGCUUCUAGAGCAGCCGCUGCUUUUUGCCUUGCUUGCUGCCAGCUAGACUGCGACGACAGCGCAUCCGCCCGCCACCUCUAGCCAGACACCCCCACUGCCACCCAAAACCGAGAGAAAGGCGCUAUCGGGCCUUGCCGUAGGCUGCUUUACUGUAAAAAUAAAAGUUUGCUGAGAAGGUCAGAUAUCUUCUGCCCGAAAAUCAAGGAGAGGAGGAAAAAAAAAAAAAAAAAAAAAAAAUCCAGUCUCGAUCGUUGCUCUAAACUGCUGCAUCUGUCUAUGCCAAACUAAUCGAUACCGAUUGCACCACAAAACCCCGUUGCAAAUUCAGCUGCGUGGAGAUUACCUUUCAGACAACUUUACUGAAAGCAGCUUGGAAAUCCCGUGUCAGAGGGUCUGCCACGUUUUCAUGCUUGCAUUGUGGGCUCCGGUUGGCACUCAGGAUGGGUAACUGAGCGCACGAGGCUAGUCCCGGGCCACACUUUUUAACGUUCACCUUGCUGGUAAUCCUAGCAUUUCUCUAAGUACGCAACCUCUGUCAAUUAACAGUGUCACGCUGCGAACUCCUGGUGGCACGUCUUUUCCUUGAGAUUGUGGCCACCCAAUUUUACACGUACUUUUAAAAUAGGGAGCGGGGGGAAAAAAAAAAAAAGUAAUCUGGAGGUGGCACUUUCAUCAUUUCCAGUUUAUCAGUUCAGCUACUCGUUUGUCCGUUUCAUUGGAAAUUUUAACUACCUGUAAAAUCUAAAGAUGGCUGUUAGUGUCACGCCGAUUCGGGACACAAAAUGGCUAACGCUGGAAGUGUGUAGGGAGUUCCAAAGAGGGACUUGCUCACGACCAGACACGGAAUGUAAAUUUGCACACCCAUCGAAAAGCUGCCAAGUUGAAAACGGACGCGUAAUCGCCUGCUUUGAUUCAUUGAAAGGUCGAUGUUCAAGGGAAAACUGCAAAUAUCUUCACCCACCACCACACUUAAAAACGCAGCUGGAGAUAAAUGGACGCAAUAACCUGAUUCAGCAGAAGAAUAUGGCCAUGCUGGCCCAGCAGAUGCAGCUUGCCAAUGCCAUGAUGCCUGGUGCCCCGUUGCAGCCUGUGCCGAUGUUUUCCGUUGCACCGAGCUUAGCCACCAACGCAUCAGCUGCCUUCAACCCCUAUCUGGGGCCCGUCUCCCCAGGCCUGGUCCCAGCGGAGAUCCUGCCCACUGCCCCGAUGCUGGUGACAGGGAACCCUGGUGUCCCGGUUCCUGCUGCUGCCGCUGCUGCUGCCCAAAAGCUAAUGAGGACAGACAGGCUGGAGGUAUGUCGAGAGUACCAGCGUGGCAACUGCAACAGGGGAGAGAACGACUGUCGUUUCGCUCACCCCGCUGACAGCGCAAUGAUCGACACCAACGACAACACAGUCACUGUCUGCAUGGAUUACAUCAAAGGGAGAUGCUCACGGGAAAAGUGCAAAUAUUUUCACCCUCCUGCACAUCUGCAAGCCAAGAUCAAGGCUGCCCAGUACCAGGUUAACCAAGCUGCAGCUUAAGCGACUGCAGCUGCCAUGGGACUUCCUCAAGCUGUACUUCCCCCAUUACCAAAGAGGCCUGCGCUUGAAAAAACCAAUGGUGCCACUGCAGUCUUUAACACUGGUAUUUUCCAAUACCAGCAAGCUCUUGCCAACAUGCAGUUACAGCAGCAUACAGCCUUUCUCCCACCAGUUCCCAUGGUGCACGGUGCUACGCCAGCCACUGUGUCUGCAGCAACAACAUCUGCCACAAGUGUUCCCUUCGCUGCAACAGCCACAGC